GACGAACGCUGGCGGCGUGCUUAACACAUGCAAGUCGAACGGAAAGGCCCUGCUUUUGUGGGGUGCUCGAGUGGCGAACGGGUGAGUAACACGUGAGUAACCUGCCCUUGACUUUGGGAUAACUUCAGGAAACUGGGGCUAAUACCGGAUAGGAGCUCCUGCUGCAUGGUGGGGGUUGGAAAGUUUCGGCGGUUGGGGAUGGACUCGCGGCUUAUCAGCUUGUUGGUGGGGUAGUGGCUUACCAAGGCUUUGACGGGUAGCCGGCCUGAGAGGGUGACCGGCCACAUUGGGACUGAGAUACGGCCCGGACUCCUACGGGAGGCAGCAGUGGGGACUAUUGCACAAUGGGCGGAAGCCUGAUGCAGCAUCGCCGCGUGCGGGAUGACGGCCUUCGGGUUGUAAACCGCUUUCGCCUGUGACGAAGCGUGAGUGACGGUACUGGGUAAAGAAGCACCGGCUAACUACGU
rnacentral:rRNA from 1 species